rnacentral:rRNA from 1 species
UACGUAGGGUGCGAGCGUUAAUCGGAAUUACUGGGCGUAAAGCGUGCGCAGGCGGUUCGUUGUGUCGGUGGUGAAAGCCCCGGGCUUAACCUGGGAAUGGCCAUGGAAACUGGCGAACUGGAGUGUGGCAGAGGGGGUGGAAUUCCGCGGUGUAGCAGUGAAAUGCGUAGAGAUGCGGAGGAACACCGAUGGCGAAGGCAGCCCCCUGGGCCUGUGACUGAC